rnacentral:siRNA from 1 species
UUCAAGAAGAAUGUACCAGUGGUA